rnacentral:rRNA from 1 species
AUUGAACGCUGGCGGCAGGCCUAACACAUGCAAGUCGAACGGUAACAGAAAGCAGCUUGCUGCUUUGCUGACGAGUGGCGGACGGGUGAGUAAUGUCUGGGAAACUGCCUGAUGGAGGGGGAUAACUACUGGAAACGGUAGCUAAUACCGCAUAACGUCGCAAGACCAAAGAGGGGGACCUUCGGGCCUCUUGCCAUCGGAUGUGCCCAGAUGGGAUUAGCUAGUAGGUGGGGUAACGGCUCACCUAGGCGACGAUCCCUAGCUGGUCUGAGAGGAUGACCAGCCACACUGGAACUGAGACACGGUCCAGACUCCUGCGGGAGGCAGCAGUGGGGAAUAUUGCACAAUGGGCGCAAGACUGAUGCAGCCAUGCCGAGUGUAUGAAGAAGGCCUUCGGGUUGUAAAGUACUUUCAGCGGGGAGGAAGGGAGUAAAGUUAAUACCUUUGCUCACUGACGUUACCCGCAGAAGAAGCACCGGCUAACUCCGUG